UACAGAGGGGGCAAGCGUUGUUCGGAAUUACUGGGCGUAAAGCGUGCGCAGGCGGUUGUGUAAGACAGAUGUGAAAUCCCCGGGCUCAACCUGGGAACUGCAUUUGUGACUGCACGGCUGGAGUGCGGCAGAGGGGGAUGGAAUUCCGCGUGUAGCAGUGAAAUGCGUAGAUAUGCGGAGGAACACCGAUGGCGAAGGCAGCUCGCUGGGACGUGACUGACGCUGAGACGCGAAAGCGUGGGGAGCAAACAGG
rnacentral:rRNA from 1 species